rnacentral:rRNA from 1 species
AGCGAACGCUGGCGGCAGGCUUAACACAUGCAAGUCGAGCGGGCAUCCUUGUGGUGUCAGCGGCAGACGGGUGAGUGACGCGUGGGAACGUGCCCUUCGGUUCGGAAUAACUCAGGGAAACUUGAGCUAAUACCGGAUACGUGCGAGAGCAGAAAGGUUUAUCUGCCGAAGGAUCGGCCCGCGUCUGAUUAGCUAGUUGGUGAGGUUACGGCUCACCAAGGCGACGAUCAGUAGCUGGUCUGAGAGGAUGAUCAGCCACACUGGGACUGAGACACGGCCCAGACUCCUACGGGAGGCAGCAGUGGGGAAUAUUGGACAAUGGGGGCAACCCUGAUCCAGCCAUGCCGCGUGAGUGAUGACGGCCUUAGGGUUGUAAAGCUCUUUUCUCCGGGACGAUAAUGACGGUACCGGAGGAAUAAGCCCCGGCUAACUUCGUG